UACGUAGGUGGCAAGCGUUGUCCGGAAUUAUUGGGCGUAAAGCGCGCGCAGGCGGUUCUUUAAGUCUGAUGUGAAAGCCCACGGCUCAACCGUGGAGGGUCAUUGGAAACUGGAGAACUUGAGUACAGAAGAGGAAAGCGGAAUUCCACGUGUAGCGGUGAAAUGCGUAGAGAUGUGGAGGAACACCAGUGGAGAAGGCGGCUUUCUGGUCUGUAACUGACGCUGAGGCGCGAAAGCGUGGGGAGCAAACAGG
rnacentral:rRNA from 1 species